rnacentral:lncRNA from 7 species
AUAAUUGAUCUCCCUGCGAAUUUGCUGUGCAACAAAUGAAAUAUGAAGUGUGAUGCUCCAAUCUUGUGUCACUUGAGCUAAUAAGGGAGUGGGAAUGUGGGAUAGUCAUUCUUCAAUAUAUAUAUAUGGCACCUUUUGCCUUAACUUCUAAUUUCCUCCAACUACUGAAUUUCUUUUGUGGGGUAAGAUCAUACAUUUCUGUUGUUUAUACGUUGUUUGUCUUCUACGGUUAGCGUACUGGCCAGGCUUCCCUUUUCAUUGUAUAAAUGGUACAGGAAGUACACAAAUCAUUUAUUUUUACUAAAUCUGGUUUCUAUGGAUCAUGCUGGUUGCUGGUCCUUCCCCGAAAUUUACUCCCAAUUAUUGUUUUCAUAAAAAAAUUAGUGUGCACAUUGUAUAAGGAAACUAAUGAGUGUGAAAUAAUGUGUACAAAGGCUAAAUGGUCUUUCUCUGACAGUAGACCCAGUCUAGAUCAUUUAGAUCCAAGUACAAUGAAGUCGGCC